AAGUGCUGGGAUUACAGGCUUGAGCCACCACGCCCAGCCUAAUCACCUGUGUCUUAACAAGCCCUCCAGGUGAUUCUGACACACACUGAAAAUUAAGGACCACUGUUACAGAAGAAAAGGAUGUGGUAUCGGUAUGCUAGGGCUGCCUUAACAAAACAUCAAAAACUGGGCGGCUUAAAACAACUGAAAUGCAUUCACUCAUAGUUCUGAGGCCAGAAGUUCUAAACCAAGGUGUCAGCAGGGCUGCAGUACCUCUGAGGGUGCUGGGGUGAGUGCUUCUUUGCCUCUUCCAGCUUCCGGCAGCUGCUGGCAUUCCUUGUGGCUGCAUCACUCCAGUCUCUGCCUUCUGCCUUCACGUAGCUUUCUCCUCUUUCUCUCUGUGUCUCUCUGUGGUCUCUGAUAAGGAUACUUAUCAUUGGAUUUAGGGCCCACCUGGAUCAUCCUGACCAUCUCACCCCAAGAUCCUUAAUACAUUUGCAGAGCCACUGCUCCAAUCCUUGCCACUCAAAGUGAGCUUCAUUGGCCAGCAGCAUCGGCAUCACUUGGGAGUAUAAGUGCAGAACCUCAGACCUGCUCAUGCAGAUUCUGCAUUUUAACAGGACCCAUCCCUCCACCGCCCAGGGGAUUAGUAUGCAAUUCAAAAUCGGGAAUCACUGUUCUUUUGUUCAGGAGCUUCUGGGACAUUCUGCGCCCUCUCCCAACCUCAGCUGAGAUGGACAGCAAUCAUUAUCAGCCGUCCAUAGGUCUGUCCCCUAGGCCCUAAGGACUUUCUGCAGAAAGUCUCCAACCCUUAGAACCCCUUUUUUGUACCCCCGCAGUCACUUGUACACAUGGGAUGUAAAUGUAAGGUUUAGACUGGUUUGGUUGUGGACCCACUUGGAGGCAGUGAAAGGUACUGGAUAACCUUUUGGGCGAUGCAGUUGGACAGAUAAAGGUUAGACUUUGGGAAGAACAUCCUAGCUGUCUAUACCACACAAAGGGGAAAAGGCUAGAGUAUCUUCUUGGGAAGGUACAUUAGAGUCACACUCUCCUCACCUGGCCUGGGGGCAGGAGAAAGUGUAUGACGAUCUCACUCUGAUCCCAUCAUGACGUUUUCUGGGAGUAUCCUUAGAGAAUCCCAGAGAGGUGAGAGAAGGCUCAGGCUGCAGCCAGGAAGAGUGGAGCCAGCACCUGUGGCCUGCAGCAGCCUUCCACUGGCCACACCCCUGGAGCCUUUGCCUGCCCC
rnacentral:lncRNA from 1 species